rnacentral:lncRNA from 1 species
CCCAGCACAGCAUCAAAAUAAUUGGACCCAAAAUACCAUCAAAAAAAAAAAAACCAUGAAUUGAGUAAUUAUUUAUAUAUGCUACGCUACUCCUCUAUUACAAGGCCACAAGUUGGAAAAGCAAGGCUUUUGGUACCUCGAGUUUUUGAACAAGCUCCUUAGCGUUUGGGGCAGAGACAAUAAUGUGGCGCUGCGAAGGUUUGAUGAAACCAUCUUCAACAGCCUUGUCUAUGAAGGUUAGUAGGUUGUUGUAGUAGCCCUCCACAUUUAGCAGUCCCACCUAUUAUCAUAUGAACAUAUGUCGGGUUAUAAACCAGCUCCACGAUGCUAAUCGAAAUAGUUUAGCAAUACUGAGUGGUAACUAAGCAUAUAAUAUAGGCCAUGAUGGAGUUGAAGAAGGGAAAGAAAAUGAUAGAAGGUGGGAGUCCAGAUUUGGCCAAACCAAAAAUACAGUGUUAUAUAGUAUGUGCUUACAGGCUUGUCAUGAAUCCCUAGCUGGGCCCAUGUGAUGACUUCCAAUAGCUCCUCCAGUGUUCCAUAUCCACCUAAUCAUCAUCAUAUAUAUAUAUAUAUAUUAUAUAUAUAUAUAUAUAUAUAUAUAUAUAUAUAUAUGUAUGUAUGUAUGUGAAUUGUUAAAAGGGUUCUCAUGAGCACUGAGUCACAAGACUUGAUUAAAAGAAAAAAGAAGAAGAGAAAAGACAGUAGUAAGAGUCUUAGCUUAGCUAGCAGUAUUGCUGAGUAGUACGUACCUGGUAGGCAAUGAAACAGUCAGAUUGGCGGGCCAUUUCUGCUUUUCUUUGGUGCAUGUUUGCUACAGGUCGUACCUCCCCCACCGUUUCACCAGUUAUCUGAUGCAUAAACAGAUUCAGAUGGUUAAUAAGCAAUGGAUCAAAAGCAUGAUGCAUGAUGAACUAAUUGAAAUCAGAUGCCAAAUUGGAGUACCGUAAUAAUUGUUUAUUGGUCCAAGAAAUUGACUCACCUCUUUGCACAUCAGGGUCUUUGGGAUAACUCUUGAGGACGAACAAAACAACAAGUAGAGAAACAAUGAGAAUCAAGUCAGCAAACGGCCAACCCAGCAAGGAGAGAAUGAAUCUAGACAUCUAUCUAUCUGUACAUGA